rnacentral:lncRNA from 13 species
UGGAAGAUGCCUAGAUUGCUUAGCCGGCCUUCUAUGAGUAGGCAUUCAGGUUGUUUCUGAUAUUUCGCUACUAUAAAUAAUAUCAUAAUGAGUAACCACAUGCAUUUGUUGUUCUGAGUUUGCAGAGGAAUAUUUUUAAGUAAAUUCUAAAGUGUACAACUGAAGGGCUAAAAGAUAAAUGCAUAUGUGAUAUUGUUAUAUAUUUUCAAACACCCCAUUUGCAUUCCCACCAGCAGUGUAUGAGAUCAUCUGUUUCCCCACAUUGGUGCCAUGUUCCAACAGACUGUGUGGUCAAGUUUUCACCUCUUGUCCAUCUAAGAGAUGGGAUUUCACCGUGAUGGCCAGGCUGGUCUUGAACUCCUGACCUCAGAUCUCUGGAUAAUUAAUUUAAAUCUGGUAUAGAAAGACGAUUCUCAUUUUAUAAUGGAGAAAAUCUCUCAAGCUCAUAGGAUUCAUGUGAGUUUUUCAAGUUCACACAGACAGUAACAAAAGUAUUUGUUUAAUAUCUCCUAUAAACCAGGCACUAAAGCAUGCAUUUUAAAUUUAUUAUCUUAUUUAAAUACACCUUGUAUUUAUUAUCAAUAAUCUUUUAAUCUUUACCAAAACUCUUUGAUGUAGGUUGUGCUCCUAGCUUACAUAUAAAGUAACUGAGACAUAAAGACCUGAGGUGACAUGUUCAAGUUCACAGGGCAGCAAAAUGAAGGCAGGCAGAGAGAAAAGUACUAUGCGCUAGUUGUCAUUUAAGAAAGAUUUGUAGGAGCUACAAUGAAACAUCUUAACUUACGUCCAAUAGGACACGAUGUAGUCAUGUGACAUAACUAGCUGCAAGGGAGUCUGGGAAAUGUAGUCCUUAUUCUGGGUGUUCAUGUGUCCCAC